GACGAGGGGCGGCCCGAGCGCGGCCCCGCUCUGCUGCUGUCCGCCUCCCGGGCAGACGGCAGCGGCGCGGCGGGGCGCGAUGGCGGCCGGGCUGGGGCCGUGGCUGCUGGCCUUGGCCUUGGGGCCGGCAGGAGUGUGUGCACAGUUGAGACUGGAAACGUCUGGUGGAGGUGUGCGGGCGCCUGGAGAUUCUGUGCAGCUCUCCUGCCGGGGAUCUGGCUUCAGCUUUGGAAGUUAUGAUGUACUGUGGUACCGUCAGACACUCGGUGGCCGUCUCGAGUGGCUGUCCUACAUCAGCAGCAGCUCAUAUACUGUUAGAUACAGCCCAGGUGUGGAGGGUCGAGCCACGGUUUCUCGAGACAAUUCCCGAUCUGUGUCCUCUCUGUCUCUACGUGCCCUGUACCCACACGACUCCGCGCACUACUUGUGUGCUUUUCGCACGGGAACAGGAAAUCCUGAAGAGCUUCAUCAAAAAACCUCUUCCUGGGCACAGACACAGCUGCAGGAACCGCAGGGCUGGCAGGAGCUGGAGUAGGUCUGGGCUGCUCCUGGACAGUGUGGGGACAUUGCUGCACACCACAGAUGACCCUGUCCUUUCUGCAAUGUGUCCUUUUACUUCAUCACUCCAUUCAUUU